AUUGAACGCUGGCGGCAGGCCUAACACAUGCAAGUCGAACGAGUGGCGGACGGGUGAGUAAUGUCUGGGAAACUGCCCGCUGGAGGGGGAUCCCUACUGGAAACGGUAGCUAAUACCGCAUACCAUCGGCUGUGCCCAGAUGGGAUUAGCUAGGAGGUGGGGUAAUGGCUCACCUAGGCGACGAUCCCUAGCUGGUCUGAGAGGAGGACAGGCCACACGGGAAGUGGGACACGGUCAAGACGCCUACGGGAGGGAGCAGUGGGGAACAGGGGGCAAUGGGCGCAAGCAUGACGCAGCGAGGCGGCGUGUAUGAAGAAGGCCUCGGGGGUGUAAAGUACGUUCAGCGAGGAGGCGGUACACGCAGAAGAAGCACCGGCUAACUCCGUGCCAGCAGCCGCGGUAAUAC
rnacentral:rRNA from 1 species